rnacentral:rRNA from 1 species
ACGGAAGGCAGCAGUGGGGAAUUUUGGACAAUGGGGGCAACCCUGAUCCAGCCAUGCCGCGUGCAGGAUGAAGGUCUUCGGAUUGUAAACUGCUUUUGUUAGGGACAAAACGUCGUGAUGGAUAAUAUUGCGAUAAUGAUGGUACCUAAAGAAUAAGCACCGGCUAACUACGUGCCAGCAGCCGCGGUAAUACGUAGGGUGCGAGCGUUAAUCGGAAUUACUGGGCGUAAAGGGUACGCAGGCGGUUAUGUAAGACAGGUGUGAAAUCCCCGGGCUUAACCUAGGACUUGCACAUGUGACUGCAUAGCUAGAGUGUGACAGAGGGGGGUGGAAUUCCAAGUGUAGCAGUGAAAUGCGUAGAUAUUUGGAAGAACACCGAUGGCGAAGGCAGCCCCCUGGGUCAUAACUGACGCUCAGGUACGAAAGCGUGGGGAGCAAACAGGAUUAGAUACCCUGGUA